rnacentral:rRNA from 1 species
GACGAACGCUGGCGGCGUGCCUAACACAUGCAAGUCGAGCGAGUGAAUCUCCUUCGGGAGUGAAGCUAGCGGCGGACGGGUGAGUAACACGUGGGCAACCUGCCUCAUAGAGGGGAAUAGCCUUCCGAAAGGAAGAUUAAUACCGCAUAAGAUUGUAGCUUCGCAUGAAGUAGCAAUUAAAGGAGCAAUCCGCUAUGAGAUGGGCCCGCGGCGCAUUAGCUAGUUGGUGAGGUAACGGCUCACCAAGGCGACGAUGCGUAGCCGACCUGAGAGGGUGAUCGGCCACAUUGGGACUGAGACACGGCCCAGACUCCUACGGGAGGCAGCAGUGGGGAAUAUUGCACAAUGGGGGAAACCCUGAUGCAGCAACGCCGCGUGAGUGAUGACGGCCUUCGGGUUGUAAACUGCUUUUGCAGGGGAGAAAUAACCGAAUGGGAUGAUAGUACUCUGCGAAUAAGUCCCGGCUAACUACGUG